rnacentral:lncRNA from 1 species
GCAAAUUGGGGGCACACACUCUGGGGCAGGCUUGACCACGUAUCCUGGUUACUUUGAGAAAGGCUGGAGACAGGGAGACUGGAAGUCUCUUCCCAUGGUCCGUACCUGCUCCACAUUAUUCCUGUUCAGCUGCUCAGCUGCGUUCACUCCUGCCUGGUGUUUCUGUCCAAAGGAUGUGCCUUUCAAGAAGAAAAUCGAUUCCUGUAACUGGCCACGGACCCUCCACAUCUGCAUGGAUUCACAGUGCGCAUGUUCAGAAUCCACAGCGCGCAAAUUCGACCAUCUCCAAUCACAGGAGUGGUCCUAGGGUUAAGUGCUUCCUGGGACAGCGAAAACACACUUCCUUCUCAGGGUCUCGCCAAGACAAGAUGAGCAUUCAUACUUCCUGUUUCUUUCUAAGUCUACUUCCCUUAAAGUGACACCAGGUUACUGUGAAAUGUUCUCAUUCCUCGUGCACGGUAGAAUGGGAAGACAGGAGGGAGACACGACAUUUUUUUGUUGUUGUUGAAAGAUCUAGUUUCUUCCAUCUUUACUUUUUUGUUCAGAACAGCAUUUUUCUUGGAGAGUCCAGGAGA